GACGAACGCUGGCGGCGUGCCUAAUACAUGCAGGUAGAACGCUGAAGGAGGAGCUUGCUUCUCUGGAUGAGUUGCGAACGGGUGAGUAACGCGUAGGUAACCUGCCUGGUAGCGGGGGAUAACUAUUGGAAACGAUAGCUAAUACCGCAUAAUAGUAGAUGUUGCAUGACAUUUGCUUAAAAGGUGCAAUUGCAUCACUACCAGAUGGACCUGCGUUGUAUUAGCUAGUUGGUGGGGUAACGGCUCACCAAGGCGACGAUACAUAGCCGACCUGAGAGGGUGAUCGGCCACACUGGGACUGAGACACGGCCCAGACUCCUACGGGAGGCAGCAGUAGGGAAUCUUCGGCAAUGGACGGAAGUCUGACCGAGCAACGCCGCGUGAGUGAAGAAGGUUUUCGGAUCGUAAAGCUCUGUUGUAAGAGAAGAACGAGUGUGAGAGUGGAAAGUUCACACUGUGACGGUAGCUUACCAGAAAGGGACGGCUAACUACGUG
rnacentral:rRNA from 1 species